rnacentral:rRNA from 1 species
CCAAGGCUUUGAUCGUUAGCUGGUCUGAGAGGAUGGCCAGCCACACUGGAACUGAGACACGGUCCAGACUCCUACGGGAGGCAGCAGUGGGGAAUCUUGCACAAUGGGCGAAAGCCUGAUGCAGCGACGCCGCGUGGGGGAUGAAGCAUUUCGGUGUGUAAACCCCUUUCGACCCGGACGAAUGCCUCGCAAGAGGAGUGACGGUACGGGUAUAAGAAGCCCCGGCUAACUACGUGCCAGCAGCCGCGGUAAGACGUAGGGGGCCAGCGUUGUUCGGAAUUACUGGGUGUAAAGGGUUCGUAGGCGGUGUGGCAAGUUGGGAGUGAAAUCUCUGGGCUCAACCCAGAGGCUGCUUCCAAAACUGCUGUGCUUGAGUGUGGGAGAGGCGCGUGGAAUUGCAGGUGUAGCGGUGAAAUGCGUAGAUAUCUGCAGGAACACCCGUGGCGAAAGCGGCGCGCUGGACCACAACUGACGCUGAGGAACGAAAGCUAGGGGAGCAAACAGGAUUAGAUACCCUGGUAGUCCUAGCCCUAAACGAUCAGGACUUGGGGUGCCGCACGUUCGUGCGUCGUCCCGGAGCUAACGCGUUAAGUCCUGCACCUGGGGAGUACGGUCGCAAGACUGAAACUCAAAGGGAAUUGAGCGGAAGGGCGAA